UGCCCUCUCUUUAAAUACCGACUCAUGCCUCAUAACUCAAUUUUUUGCAAUCCCUCAAGCACUCGUGAAAACAAAAACCAGAGAAACAAAAGUCAAUUUCCGAUGUUGGUUCCCAUCUACUUUCGGCUUGACCGAAAUACCAUCAAACAACUUCCGAAACCACCGCAAAAAACACCGUCUCAUAGUUUGCAGUACUCUCUUCGCAUCCGGUUUGUAAAUUCUGAAAACCGUCAGUAAACGGAGAGUACGCAAAUCGUGAGGAUACCCACUAGUGUUCGUGUUCGUGUGCGUAAUUUGUGAGACUUGCUUAUCAAGGUAUGCGUGGCACGUCAUGAGCGACCGUUUCACAACACUAGUAGCAAGUUAUUAAUGACGUAGAUCACCUAAAGACAAUCAGUUGGGUUUUAUUUAAUUCAGUUGUAACGACAUUUUGGGUAGUUGGUUUAAGUUAUUUAAUUAUGAUAAUGUUGGUUUAUUUAUAAAGGUUGGA